UGCGCAGGCGGGCUUGUAAGUCAGUGGUGAAAUUCUGCCGCUUAACGGUAGAACUGCCAUUGAUACUGCAAGUCUUGAAUAUGGUUGAGGUAGGCGGAAUGUGUUGUGUAGCGGUGAAAUGCAUAGAUAUGACACAGAACGCCAAUUGCGAAGGCAGCUUACUAAGCCAUUAUUGACGCUGAGGCACGAAAGCGUGGGGAGCGAACAGGAUUAGAUACCCUGGUAGUC
rnacentral:rRNA from 1 species